UUAAAAAUAGUGAUAGGAAAAAUUAAAUUUUCAGAUAUUUUAAAGAGAGUGAGGAAUGGUGAAAACUCAUAAAUACUGUAAAUUGAAACUCAUCCUUGAAUUGCAGGCUGAAUUAUAGUAAGCUGUGUCGGCAUAAGUCGUUAUAUAUUAUUGAGUAAUAAUUUGGGUGGUACCGCGGCAUUCUUUUCGCCCCAUAG
rnacentral:ncRNA from 1 species